AUGUCCGUAGCUUAAUUGGUAGAGCUUUAAUUUUCUAGAUUAAAGGUUGUGGGUUCAAAUCCUGCCGGACAUA
rnacentral:tRNA from 1 species